UCCUAUGAAAAAAAAAAAAAGAAAGUUUAAUCGUGGAACGAACUGCUCAAAAACAGGUAAAGACGAAUGUAAAAACAUAUGGUACUGUUUAAAGAAUGCUGCCAUCUGUGUAGAACACCUUCUACUAUUCCAUCCAGUUUCUACACAAAAACUAGACGUUGUCCUUGUGCGGCCCCAUGCCACAACUCAAAUGACAACAGGUCUUUAAAUUCUGCUUAACAACAAUCAACGUCGACCGUGACUCCAAGAAAAACCUACAUAAGGUGACAUAAAAUAAACGUUAGAUAAUAAUUUUCUUAUCUUCCACACCCAAAAACACCCGCACGCUCUUAAGUGAUGAAAUUGCAUUACCUUGAUAGCUAUGUCGGCAUCAAGCGAUUAACACUUUCAGUGCACAUUUUUCGGACACGAAACGGAGGAAAACAUCCCUAAUUGAUGUUGACACCCUUGGCUAUAUUUUGCACGCUAUAGAUCAAAACUAUGCAAUUACAACAAAGUGUUCUUUCCUAUGAUUUUAAAACCAAUCGCCAUUACAGAACCUAUGAUUAUAAUUGACCCCUACAUUACAAAUGCUUCUUUACCCA